rnacentral:lncRNA from 1 species
AUGACAAACGUGUUUUUUAAAAAAAAAAAAAAAAGGCCUGACAGGAAGAACGGUGGGUGUGGGGCGAGUGGCAGCACUGGGGUGGGAGCAGAGUCGGGCAAGGUCCUCCGUGUCCACUCCCCCUGCUCUGACCCCCAGCACCCAGCAGGAUGGCCUCCCAGGGAAUAUCCUCCCCCCCCAGGAGGGCUCAAGGGCCACCAGAGCAGCAGGGGUGGGGCUGUGUCUUUCCUCAGACUAGGGGUCCCCGACCCCAGGGCCGCUCCCAGCACUAGGCCAGGCCUCAGUGUACGUGUGGGGAGGUGUUUCCAAUCAAGGUCCUGGUGCCAACCCAAGGGAGGUUACUGGGCAGGCGACAGGAGCCCUGAUCAGCUUGGAUGCGCUGUGUGACCCACCUGGAUCUGUGUCCCCAUUUUUGUGGCCGAGGACCCUGGGGCCCAGCUCUGACCUCUCUGAGCCCCGUCCUCACCAUACCAGGGACAGAUCAAAAGACAUCACCUCUGGAGCUCUCAUCCUGGCUCAGCAGAAACGAAUCUGACCAGCAUCCAUGAGGAUGCAGGUUUGAUCCCUGGCCUCGUUCAGAGGGUUAAGGAUCCGGCGUUGCUGUGAGCUGUGGUGUAGGUUGCAGACGCGGCUCAGAUCUGGCAUUGCUAUGGCUGUGGUGUAGGCCGGCGGCUACAGCUCCAAUUCGACCCCUAGCCUGGGAACCUCCAUAUGCUGCAGGUGCAGCCCUAAAAAAGACAAAAAACAAACAAAGACACCACACUUGGGCUGGAUGUUCAAACGUCUGUUUCCAAAAAAAUACCAAGCACACAGUCUAGGUGUGGCAGGGGGACAGAGCCAGGCUGGGGACCUGGACAUUAUACACCCAGGGGGCCCUUGGUGGAGGCAGACAAUUUAACAACUGGUCUGAAAGUCAAAAGAGAGGAGAGCUGGUUAGUGGGGUGAGCAGCAGGCAGUGGGGGUGGGGCGGGGGCUGUGGGGUUCAGGCCCAGACUCAGGGACUGGCCAGGGCGGCUUAUGGCAGGGGCCCGCGGGC